GGGCAGUGACUGCUGCCUCUUUCUCAGUUCAGUGCAGGGAGGCCGUAUGCUCUCCCAUAUGGUGCUGAGAAGGACAAUCACGUAUCUGACCCUGGAGGGUAUGGAGACUCUGCGUCCUUGGUUAGCCCCUGGCAGUCACCACAAAAGCACGGUCUGCUGGUCCACUACAUUCUUGAGCUCAUCAGCCUGCGGCCAUUUUUGCAUUAUUUCUUUUGGGGAGUCGAUUUGCCAGGCGCUUGCAGCCUAUGGGGGGAUGGCACAGAGUCCAGGGUUUGGGAGGAGAGAUGGCCUGAAUCCACGGCAGCAGCAGGACAGGCCCCGGGCGGUAAAGAUGGAAUCCAUUCAUUUGGAGAAGCAGAGGGAACUUGGCAGAAAGGAUCAAAUGGAAAAUACUCCCGGCAGCCUGAAGUCAGCCGUCUACCCAAACAGAGGGGGCCCUGCCCCAGGAGACCGGCUUAGAGUUGCUGCUGUUUUUAGUAAUCGAGGCCCUGAGAAUGAUUAAACCAUCAAACUCGGCCACUCAGAGAGUAUUUUCACACGAGCCAAAUGGACCUCCAUGUACAAUCGCUCUUACUUACUGUGGAGAAGGCAGAAUUCUAUUCUCGUAUUUUAUGUUUUUUAAAGAGGCAAUUUCAAUUCUUUCAUGUGAUAGAAAAUGUUCGACACAAAUUAACAUUCCUGACAAAAGGGCUGUCGAUCAAGUGAGAAAAGCAUUCAGCUUGCGAUGCGAGCAGGACUGGAUCGGCAGCACGAGAACUGCUGAGAAGGGAGGCUGGGGAGACGAGACUCCACCCUGCACCCACCGGCAGGCCGCUCCGGAUCCUGAGAGGAAGGCACCGGGCCCUCGGCCUCUCUGGUCUACACGCUGACCCUCUGCGCAGGACGCUGGAGGAACACAGCGGGAGAUUUGCUGGAAUCUUUUUCCAGCUUGAGAUUUGAAUAUGUUCCUUAACUUCCUCAAGAAAGGCCCCUGCACAGAUCAAUAUUCACUUAACAAAUAUUUAUGGACUAUUCAUCCUACUAUGUGCCAAGUAUUGGUCUAGACGUUGGGUGUGAAUAAGAUAUAAAAGGUCCCUGCCCCACUGAGCUCACCUUCUAGAAGGGAGAAGACGGACAGUCAGUGGGUAAACAAACAAAAGAGACUGUUUGAAAUGUAUAUGCGCUGUGGAGGAAUUUAAGCAGGAUAAAAAUAAGAAAGAAUAGCUGUGUUGAGGGUGGGGGGGCACUUCAGACGGGGGUCAGGAAGAGCUGAGACCUGAAUUCUGUCCUGUCCCUUCUGGAGGACCAGCCAGCCACAUUAAGAGGCAGGCAACCCUCAGCCCGGCCCUGGUCCCCAGUAACGAGUGGAGUCUGCUUCCUGUCACUCUGCUUCUGCCCUUUCUGAAACACCAUAUAAAUGGAAUCAUGCAGUAUGAAGCUGGCAGCCUUCUAAAAUGGCUCCCAAUGACCCCUGCCUCCUGGUCUUGUGCAAACCCUUCCCCUGGCGUACGGUCUGGACCGCGUGACUUGUUCCAAUGACGCGUCCAAAAGCGAUGAGACACUGCUUCCGAGGACAGCUGGUAAAGCUGCCGUCUUGCCGACUCUCUCUCUCCCUGGCUCACUUCCAUGAGGCCAGCUGCUGUGUCACGAGCUGAUGUGGCAAGAGGCUCACGGGACAAGGAACCGGGAGACCAGGCCUCCGUCCAACAGACGGCGAGGAGCUGACUCCCGACACGGCAGGAGUAAGCUGGGAGGUGGGUCCUGCCCCGCUGAACCUCGAGAUGCCGGUACCCUGGCCACCAUCUUGACUGCAGCUUUGUGAGAGACACUGAGCCACAAAAACUGGGGGAGAACCGUGCUGUUUGAAGCCACGCGUCUUGCGGGAAUUUGUCAGGCAGCAGGGGACCAUGGGACAGCAGGCUAUGUGUCUGACUUCUCUCACUUUGCAGACCGUGUUUGAGCUUCAUCCACGGUGUUGCCUGGACCAGUCGUUUAUUUGUUGCUGCUGAGGAGCAUUCCACUGAUGAAUAUACCUCAAUCUGUGUAGCUACUCACCUGCCCGUGCACGUCUGGGCUGUGUCUGGCUUUUGGUUAUUAGGAGUAAAGCUGCUUUGAACACUCAAGUAUAAGUCUUUGUGUGGACACACGUUUUCACUUCUCUUGAAUAAGUACCUAGAUAUGGGACUGUGGGGCUGUAAGUGGAAUGUAUGUUUAACUUUAUAAGAAACCGCCACUCUGUUUUCCAACGUGGCUGCACCAUUUUGUAUUCCCACCAGCGAUGUAGGAGAUUUUAAGAUGCCCUGCCUCCUCAUCAACACUUGACUGUGUCUCUAAUUUUGGCCGUUCCUGUCGCUAUGCAGAGACAUCCCACUGGGAAUUGACUGUGCAUUUUCUCAAUGGCUAACGACACUGAGCAUCUUUUCAUGCGCUUAUUUAUUUGUUCAAAUCUUUUGUCCAUAUUUAAAAAUGAGAUUGUUGGUCUUCCUAUUAUUGUAAGCAUUCUUUAUAUGUUGUAGAUACAAGUCCUUUGUUGGAUAUAUGUUUUGCAAAUAUUUUCUCCCAGUCUGGGGUUUGCCUACUCAUUUUCUCUUAUUUAUUUAUCUAUUUAUUUACUUGAG
ensembl:lncRNA